GUCCUUCGGGACUGAGGCGAGUGGCGCACGGGUGAGUAACACGUGAGCAAUCUAUCCUGUUGCGGGGGACAACGAGGGGAAACCUUCGCUAAUACCGCAUGGUCGAGAGAUCCGCCUGGGUCUUUCGGGAAACGUGGCCUCUUUACAAUGCUACGGUGGCAGGAGGAGCUCGCGGGCUAUCAGCUAGUUGGUGAGGUAACGGCUCACCAAGGCUACGACGGCUACGGGGUCUGAGAGGACGACCCCGCACAUUGGAACUGAGACACGGUCCAGACUCCUACGGGAGGCAGCAGUGGGGAAUAUUGGGCAAUGGCCGAAAGGCUGACCCAGCGACGCCGCGUGUGGGAGGAAGCCCUUCGGGGUGUAAACCACUGUCAGGAGGGACGAAAGAGCUCAUGGUGAAUAAUCAUGGGCAGUGACGGUACCUCCAAAGGAAGCACCGGCUAACUCUGUGCCAGCAGCCGCGGUAAUACAGAGGGUGCGAGCGUUGUUCGGAAUUACUGGGCGUAAAGCGCGCGCAGGCGGGUCCUGUAAGUCGGAAGUGAAUUUCGGAGCUCACUCCGAAGCUGCUUCUGAUACUGCGAAUCUAGGGACUGGUAAAGCUGGUAAAUUCCAGGUGUACCGGUGGAAUGCCUAAAUUUCUGUAAAAAUACCCGUGGCGAAGGCGGCCACCUUGGGCAAGAUCCACCCUCAGGCCCGAAAGCGUGGGGAGCAAACAGGAUUAAUACCUGGUAUCCCCCCGUAAACGAUG
rnacentral:rRNA from 1 species